rnacentral:rRNA from 1 species
UGGGGAAUAUUGGACAAUGGGCGAAAGCCUGAUCCAGCCAUGCCGCGUGUGUGAAGUAGGUCUUCGGAUUGUAAAGCACUUUAAGUUGGGAGGAAGGGCAGUAAGCGAAUACCUUGCUGUUUUGACGUUACCGACAGAAUAAGCACCGGCUAACUCUGUGCCAGCAGCCGCGGUAAUACAGAGGGUGCAAGCGUUAAUCGGAAUUACUGGGCGUAAAGCGCGCGUAGGUGGUUCGUUAAGUUGAAUGUGAAAGCCCCGGGCUCAACCUGGGAACUGCAUCCAAAACUGGCGAGCUAGAGUAGGGCUGAGGGUGGUGGAAUUUCCUGUGUAGCGGUGAAAUGCGUAGAUAUAGGAAGGAACACCAGUGGCGAAGGCGACCACCUGGGCUCAUACUGACACUGAGGUGCGAAAGCGUGGGGAGCAAACAGG